AUGGCAGCUGAGCCACUGACAGAACUGGAGGCGGCCAUGAGACAGUGGUCACCACCUUCUUCACUUUUGCAGCACGGGAGGGCCGGAAGGGCAGCCUCAGCUUCAACGAGUUUAAGGAGCUGGUCACUCAGCAGUUGCCUCAUCUGCUCAAGGAUGUGGGCAGUCUAGAUGAGAAGAUGAAGAGCUUAGAUGUGAAUCAGGACUCCGAACUCAAGUUCAAUGAGUACUGGAGACUGAUGAGGGAGCUGGCUAAGGAAAUCAAGAAGGAGAAAGCCCUGGAGAUCCGGAAGAAGUAAAGCCUGCUGGCUGG